CUCAGCAACUUUUCCUCUGAACAGGUUUUGAUAAAUCUCCCCCAAUAGUAUUUAAGCUCCAUCUUUGACUCCAGAGAUAUUCCAUCCCAGCUUCCUGUGUCGUAGAUACGCAGAUAAGCGAGCAAUUUGUCAUUGCUUAGAUACUUAUCAGUCGGAUACUUAAAGAUGAAAAGAGCCGCGUCCCCCAGCGCCUGGAUGGUAGGAUUUUCAUAUUGCCCACACCUGUUACUUGACUCAGACAAAGCCUCCAGAUCUGACAACCCGCUGUGUCAGCACUUCUACGUGACAGACACCUAUGGGAUCAUCGACAAACUCGACAAGGUUGUGAUUGACUGAAUGGUACACGAAAUCAAUGUGGAUAACCAGUAAAGACAGCCGCGGCAGAUCUGGAGACUCCUUGCUCCGCUGGCAGGUUCUAUCUCCUAGAUAAACUCUCCCCCAUAACAUUUUCAAUUGGCUAAGCCUCGAUAGAGAAGCGGAGGGAACUUGUGCGCACCCUGGGAAAGUGCCGGCGUCAAUAAAUAAUAAGGCUCCAGGCAACCAGGUAAUUAAAAAGUCGCGGAAUUAAAAAUUGAGCGCGCGU